GUGCAUUGUAGUUGCAUUGCAUGUUUAUUUGUUAAUGCAGUGCAUCGGCAGUGCAAAC
rnacentral:pre_miRNA from 1 species